UACAGAGGGUGCGAGCGUUGUUCGGAAUUAUUGGGCGUAAAGGGCGCGUAGGCGGUGCGGUAAGUCACCUGUGAAAUCUCCUGGCUCAACUGGGAGCUUGCAGGCGAAACUGCCGUGCUGGAGUGUGGGAGAGGUGCGUGGAAUUCCUGGUGUAGCGGUGAAAUGCGUAGAUAUCAGGAGGAACACCUGUGGCGAAAGCGGCGCACUGGACCACAACUGACGCUGAUGCACGAAAGCUAAGGGAGCAAACAGG
rnacentral:rRNA from 1 species